rnacentral:rRNA from 2 species
UUAUAAGAAAUCGUACCCCAAACCGACACAGGUGAUCAGGUAGAGAAUACCAAGGCGCUUGAGAGAACUCGGGUGAAGGAACUAGGCAAAAUGGUACCGUAACUUCGGGAGAAGGUACGCUCCUAGCGGUGAUGAGACUUGCUCUCUAAGCUGCCGGGAGUCGCAGAUACCAGGUGGCUGCAACUGUUUAUUAAAAACACAGCACUGUGCAAAAUCGAAAGAUGACGUAUACGGUGUGACGCCUGCCCGGUGCCGGAAGGUUAAUUGAUGGGGUUAGACUUCGGUCGAAGCUCUUGAUCGAAGCCCCGGUAAACGGCGGCCGUAACUAUAACGGUCCUAAGGUAGCGAAAUUCCUUGUCGGGUAAGUUCCGACCUGCACGAAUGGCGUAAUGAUGGCCACGCUGUCUCCACCCGAGACUCAGUGAAAUUGAAAUCGCAGUGAAGAUGCUGUGUACCCGCGGCUAGACGGAAAGACCCCGUGAACCUUUACUAUAGCUUGGCACUGAACAUUGACCCUACAUGUGUAGGAUAGGUGGGAGACGUUGAAGCAACCGCGCCAGUGGUUGUGGAGUCAAUCUUGAAAUACCACCCUUGUAUGCUUGAUGUUCUAACGUUGGCCCCUUAUCGGGGUUACGGACAGUGCCUGGUGGGUAGUUUGACUGGGGCGGUCUCCUCCCAAAGAGUAACGGAGGAGCACGAAGGUGGGCUAAUCACGGUCGGACAUCGUGAGGUUAGUGCAAUGGCAUAAGCCCGCUUGACUGCGAGAAUGACAAUUCGAGCAGGUGCGAAAGCAGGUCAUAGUGAUCCGGUGGUUCUGAAUGGAAGGGCCAUCGCUCAACGGAUAAAAGGUACUCCGGGGAUAACAGGCUGAUACCGCCCAAGAGUUCAUAUCGACGGCGGUGUUUGGCACCUCGAUGUCGGCUCAUCACAUCCUGGGGCUGAAGUCGGUCCCAAGGGUAUGGCUGUUCGCCAUUUAAAGUGGUACGCGAGCUGGGUUUAGAACGUCGUGAGACAGUUCGGUCCCUAUCUGCCGUGGGCGUUGGAUGAUUGAGAGGGGCUGCUCCUAGUACGAGAGGACCGGAGUGGACGAACCGCUGGUGUUCGGGUUGUAUCGCCAGAUGCAUUGCCCGGUAGCUAAGUUCGGAAUCGAUAACCGCUGAAAGCAUCUAAGCGGGAAGCGAGCCUCAAGAUGAGUCAUCCCUAGACCUUUAAGGUCUCUAAAGGGUUGUUGAAGACUACAACGUUGAUAGGUCAGGUGUGUAAGUGCUGCGAGGCAUUGAGCUAACUGAUACUAAUUGCCCGUGAGGCUUAACCAUACAACACCCAAGGGGUUU